ensembl:lncRNA
GGCCUGCCCACCUCUGCGCCCCCGCCUGGGAUCCAGCCCCGCCCCAGGUCUUCCAGAGCCCCAGAUGGACCUCCCGCCCCCUCAGCUGCUCACCUCAGAUCCUGUCUUGUCUGACCUUUGGCCUCCCACUCCCCUGCUCUGCCCUCUGCAGCCGCGGGGCUAGGGGUCCCAGAGUCCUCCGUUUGGGUAACGCGGCCCUGGGGUGGUAGCGACUAUGCUGAGCGUGCAGAGCCCUUAGCCGGGCGCUUGACAUCCUCCUCCUGUCCACCGCGCCCCCCUGCCCCUAUGAUCUUCUCGAAGACCUGCAGGGUCUGUCCCAUCAUUAAACUCAUUUCCUAGAAGCGGAACCUGAAGCUCCCAAAGGCGUCGCUGUGAAUUCCCGGUCUGCCCGGGUCCCAGUCGCCCCCUCCCUUCACUCCGCGCAAUCGCAAAUCCCAGGACCUUUUCAGUGAGAUUUCUGUAGGAUGGAGGUGGGUGGGCGCCGGGAACGGAGAUGCCAGAGGAGGAGGCACAGAGGAGGAUCCACAGAGGAGGAGAGAUGCCACAAAAGAAGGCCAGCCUCUGCGUCCGAUGCUCAUCGCGCGGGGCAGCACCGACAGCGGCAGCUAGCCCCAGAGCCAGACGCCGCAAAGCCUAUGCCAAGCUGGCUGACUUCUGAGGCGUCUCCACUGAGGUCUCUGAAAGGUGCCUGGGAAAGGGUGCUCUGGAAAGGUGUGCCCCCUUGGUCAGGAGUCAUCUGGCCUCCAAGCAUCUGGGCAGCAGGUCUGCAAGAACAGCUUCUUCUGCAAAUAGCAGUGCACCUUGAAGAUACUUGACCUUCAGCAGUAUGAGGACUAUCGUCCCGAGAGCCACUUCUGUCACCUGCUGAUUAGAAAAUCAUCUGAAGAGCUCUCAGAAUCUCAGCUGGGCUUUGAUAGCUUCUGCUGAGUAUACUAAAGCAUAAUUUACCAGGGGCUGAGUGCAUGGCAUUGUCAGAAGUGAUUUACAUAAUUGCCUCUUCUUCAGAUUCCCAUCUGAACUCUAGUGAUAUGUGGGACAAUGUGAUGAUAAUACAUCCCCACUCCACCCCAAAGACAUUAAAUAUGAGGGCAAGGAAUUCCUUUAAGAAUUUAUUACUUAUUCAAUGAUUUUCUCGAAAGAAAGUAAGCCCGAAAUCAUAUGAGCUAAGCAGAAAGUCGGCAUGAGAAGGACACAAGUCUGGGAUAGGAACAAUGUUUAUGUAAUAUCCAUAUGAUGUGUCCAGACUCUGCUGUCAAUUGUUUGGAUCAAGGAAAUUGAGCGCCUUGAGCGCUGUUCUGUUGUCUAGGAGUUGUUUCCGGCUGUCCCAGCAUCCUGGCCUCAUCACUCUGCAUGUAGAAGAGAAUGAACUGGAAGACAAAACAUGGGUUUCGUUCUGAAUGCUUUGUUCAUGACAGGUGUGAGUGUGGGCGGUUCAUUUAGAGGACUGUUGCUUCAAGAGGACCCGGGACAAGCAGCACCCUGCACUACCUAUGAGAAGUGCACAUCCUGAACCUGCAGAAUCACAAACACAGAAGGUGGGGACCAGCCACAGUGCUCACCAGAGCUCUAGGGGUCUAUGACAAACUUCAAGUCUGAGAGCCACUGGCAUAGCCUUUCUGAGCCUCACUUUCUUGUCUUCCUAGAGUAGUGAACCAGUAUCAGGAAAGAUCAUUUGGCAUGAAUGCUCUGAAAUCUCUAGACUACCUUGGCCACAUGGUUCCUGAACACCUGAAAUGUAGAGAUGUGCUAAGUGUAAAAGACACAUCAGAUCCCAAAGACUGAGGGUGAACAAAAGAAUGUAAAACAUCACAUUAAUAUGUUUUAUUGAUUACAUGUUGAAAUAAUAUUUUAGAUAUGAAAGUAAAGUCAAACAUAUUAUAAAAUGAAUUUUACCUGUUCCUUUUUACCUUUUUUAAUGCAACUAUUGGAAAAUGUAAGUUACAUUUGUGUCUCACAUUAUAUUUCUCCAGUGUUAGAACCCUAUUGGAUGCCCCAGCAAUGCUGUUAAUGUGCUGUUCCCG